rnacentral:lncRNA from 1 species
UAGGAUGCUUGGUGGUACGUGGUGGUGCGUGAAUGAGAAGUCCCGACUGAAACCCCCGAUAAAUGAAGGAACCAAGAAUCCUCCUCACGUCGAUGGGCUCUGAGCAAAGUGGACUGUAUAGGGAGUGGCGGUGCUAUGACCGGAGACUCACCUCGACACCUCAUCUCUCCUCUCAACGAACAUCCGAGCCGAAAUGUGUGGCGCUCAGCCCCUCAUCUUCCCAAAAUCUCCUCCUAUUGGGGGAUGAGACGCAAAGCUGCUGUGGGGCUCAGCGUGAGCCGCGGAACAGGUGCGAAGAAGGACAUCUCCCAAAAUAAUAACGUAACAUUCGCCCUCCUCCCCCAGAAAGAAUGAAGGAAUCGCUUACGUUAUUAUGGUCUCCAUCAAUUGUCGAGGCUAGGAAACUGAAAUCUUAUAUGAUCGAAAAAAUGAACUUUUGAUGCACGAUGUUGUGAUGUAAAUGUAUUUAAGGAGAGAAUAGUCGAAAUUAAAUGGUCUGAAAAGUACAAUAUAUAUAGGCCUCAUGAGGACGGUACUUACUUAUCAUUAUCGGUGUAACAUACUGGGUUUCUGUUUCUGCUGGCCGGUGCAUUUUUAAUCUGACAAAUUUUAAUGUUGCUCGUAGGCGUAUGACCGGGGAAACUUCCAAGUUUCCUAAUACCUGGAAGAUCCGCUAUUGCAGGAACAGAUCAGCCCCACUUGUACAAACUGUUUACUCUACUUACAUUUUCCCACUGUAAGAAACAUACCUCAAUUUCAUGCUUCGGAAUAAAGUCCACAACAUCUGGUUUUGCGCGGUGCGUGGUGGUGCGUGGGGUUGCGUGGUGGUGCGCGGGGUUGCGUGGUGGUGCGAUUUAUAACUUUUCUUGGCUCAGUAAACUAUUCUUCUACUUCUUUUCUUUUUGCAGCGUUUUACAUCAUAGGGGAUGAGAACUAUUUGAAAAACCUUGUCAUAAUCAGCUCUGUUCGUUUGAACUAUUUAUUUUUUAUUUUAUUUUUUUUUAUUGUAUCUCAGAAAGAAUGUACAUAUUUUAAUAUAUAAUUAACAUGUUAAAUUAAGCUAAUUAACAUUUAAAUAGAUUUAAUUGUUGAUUAUAGACUACUAUUCCUUAGUUUAUGUACUUGUGUUCCGAGACACGCCGGAAUUACCCGAAGGUAUAUCAUCAGCCGGGAGGUGAUUGGCGUCUGUUAUCACUAUAUUACUUAUCCUCCUAUUAUUAUAAACAUUGCCUUUAACCGUUAAAACUUUCUUAAUUGAACUAUUUAUUCGAAAUAUCCCCCGGAAUCAAUCCCUAAAUGUGCUUAAUUUGAAAAGUGGCCAUUAUUAAAUAGACACCGAGUUUAAAUAGAGGAGCUCCAUCAAGUGUUUCCUGAAAAAUUUGAAACCGCCUUAUGCGAUAAAGUAAGUAACAUCAGUAAAAUAGAUGAAACAUGUAAAUAAGUUACAAGUUGCUCUGUUGCUUGUAUAUUCUCUUUAUUUAGCUUAGAAACAAAGCGUAUAUUUCCAUAAUGGGAGGUCACUAAAAAACUUUAAAAAAUAAAUACAAAUAAAAUAAAAGAUGGACAUCUUAUAUAUGUAUUGUGUCUCCGUUCAUUUCAUCGAUGCCCCUUGUUUUUUUUUUUCGAGUUGAGUCUUCUUUCAUCAGUUCAUUGUGAAGUCGAUAGUGAAAGAGGUCAACUGCUUCACAGAUAAUUUGGAGCAUUCAAUGUCGAUGAUUAUAAGUGGGCUGAAACCAAAAUUCAGUUUUUGCUGGUAUAUUCUACGAGUUCCGUAAAUUUGAACCCCGGUAAAACCGAACAGAGUUUUGAGCGUUCACCACGUUAGUAGUGUACGCUCUUUCCCGUUGUUUUGCAGCGGGUAUGUUACGAAUGGAUCUAUUGAUAAAGGCCCGCACUGCUCCAUGGGAAUCGGCGCCAUUUUUCGUGGCGGGAAGCAAUACCUAGUUUCUCAAUUUUAUUUAUGUACCAUUUCUACCUUUUUCUCCUAUUUUGUCCACUUUAUGUAACGCCUGUAGGCUUGUCUUUGAGAAAUUAAUAUCUUUACGUUUUAAAACUCUGCAACGUACUUUUAUUUAAUGACUCUUUCAAGCAUCGUUCAAAUUUUUCGUCGUCUUAUUUCUAGAAAAAUUGUUGGGUACAAAGUACCCCUUCACUAAUGAUCCCUAUAUUUUACUCUAUGAUGACAAGUCAUUUCUUGUAUAUAUGUAUGUUUCCUAGGUUAUGCUCCACGUCUAUCUCAACAGCGUCUUGCAGCGCUCUCUUCCGUCCGCGCAAAACAACUUAUACAUUUUAACAUCGGCCCCCCCCCCUCUAGAUCGAACUACUGUAAAUCUGAAUUACAAUGCGUUAUUGGUGAUCAUAAGAGAAUUUGUGAAUUUGAAGUGUAAUAUUUUCUUUUUCCCGUCGCCAAUCACCGACGGGACGGUGUUUGACGCACUGCAUUAAGUAUUCGCACAGUCUUAUACGCGCUAACAUUCAUUUUUUAAUAAAAAAAAAACGAAUAAAUUGACGAGGUGUUACGGUGAACGCUCUCCAACGCCUUAACGUUGGAACCGUCGUCUUGUUUCCGACUAUGCAGGAGUCAAAUUUGAAAAAGUUUCAAUAAAAAAACGUAAAGAAACUGAUUUAUUGAGUAUAAGCUAAACAUAACACAAUUUAGGAAAAAAAUGCAUGGUAAAUAUGCAUACACAUAAAAAUAUGUUCCAUCGUUAAAUAUCCAAGUUUGUUGCGAGUAUCAAAGGUAAAUUUCAUGUUUUGUGGAAAUAUUUUUUUGUUUUUUAAUGGAGAAUUAGAGAUCAUACAGGACUGGUGCGCAUGAUACUUUUAGCCAAUGAUUUUUUACGUACCUCUCUCCUGGCCAAUUUUCUCUCAGAAUCUUUCAAUGAUACGCUUCGAAGGAUUAAAAAUUAAAUCAAGUUAAACCUUCUGAUGUGACAAAAGACGAAAAAACCAUGAAAGCACCGGGGGAAAGUAAGACAAAAGUUCGGUUGAUAUCAAAGCUCCUCCGACGUCAGGGCGUAUCUCCAUUUCCACGUAAGCCCUGUGCUCCAUAUAACUCUAUGCGCUCCGGGGAUCAUGUGAAAAUACAGAUACGUCUUUAUAACAGGAGCGUUAUACUGCCGUGCCGAGGAAAAACGCCGCAUGCGCCUUUAGACGUUGCCAAGUUUCCUCCGAUAAAAACCCACUGAGUAAAUUGUGAAUAUUAUUUUCCGAAACUUUCAGAUAAUUUUGUGCUCAAUUUCAGUAAGAAAAGAAAAAUGUAUCAAAAAUUUAAAAUUGCCUCUGCUAUACAGAAAGAAAGCGAUUAACUCAAACGGUUUUAUUAAGAUUAGAAAUUUGACAACUAAACUUCUGUUUACUUUUACAAAAUUUUACAUGACGUAGAAAAGUCGCUUUAUAAAAGCAAAAGGUGUCUUCCUCUGCAGAAAUGAAAUUAAAAGCCAAAAUGCAGACAAUACAUGCUAACACAUUGUUUUUUCUCUUUUCAACUCCAUUACAAGCAAUCGGCUAUUGGUGCGGCAGCCUGCCUCAUCUAGAAUUAAUAGAAUUAAUAGACACCGAUAAUUUUACUCAGGGAAUUUUUCAGUUAAUACUUCAUACUUAAGAAAUUGAUUUUUGGGAUCAAAAUAAGAUUUUUUUGUAAAAUAUAUGUAAGUUUCUCUGAAAACACCUUUUUUCCAAAAUUGGUCCUUGACUCUUUCUCAUUGCGUCAAGUUUUGGUAAAAAUUGGGUUCUAAGAGUAAAUGACAGCUAAGUGCACUUCUCAUUUUAUGUAGUGUCAGAGAUACAUAUACUACGCUUUCAUGGAAAAACGGGAGACACAAUCUCUACAUUAAUAAUAGGUGUAACUAUUUGAACCUAGAAAUCUGCUAACCUACGUACCGCAUUUCCACACAUCCUCUGAGACUACAAAAAAUAAAAAAGCAGGGUAAAAAUUACUCUUAAAAGCAAACUUUCGCUAAUAUUUGACGCUUUGAACAGUACGCGGUUUCUCAUUUUGAUCAUCGUUUUGUUCCAUAGCUGUGCCUUUUGAGUUUGACUGGAUAUGGAUGAAGACUCUCAGCUUUAAAAUUGGAGAUCCACUUAAUUACAGCCUCAAAUUUGAGAGCUUUUUUGAGCUUAGGUUUCAGAUUCAGAGUAACACUGGAACACUAUCGUGUUCCUCGCAAAAUUUCAUGCACAACAGAGUACUUAAAACGCGAAUCCUUCACACACGUAAGGACUUAAUGGGCCUGUUGCAUGCAAGAGAUACAGCCGUAUGAAUAGACUUUUUAGAGGUAAAAUGACACGAAAAUUACGAUGGUCACAUUAAAAAAGUCUCAAAUACACUCCUUACUGCGCAAUUUGUGUUGUUAGGAACGCGCUUUUUCAAAUUCCCCGCGUCUGGGGGCAGUUUUCUGACGGAAACAAGUAACGGCAACUAGCGGCUAUUUCCGGUCAACUAAAACUGACAACAUAACCUGAAAAUCGGAGAUCGUGAUAUCGUGAAAUGAAAUGUAGAAUAAUCGCGUUGGAUAUUUAAAAGUUGAUUGAUUUAGUUACCGCGUAAAGCGUAUAUGGACCACUAUGAGAGAUCACGUUGGGUUUGUAAACAAACUGAAGUAAAAAAGAAGAAGAACAACAACGACUAGGCAUCUUCCGGAAAUCACCGAGCCCGCCAUUUGCUCGUUUCCGGUGAUUAG